rnacentral:rRNA from 1 species
UUGGCGUCAGGAAUUGUAAACGGCCUGGCGGGGCACUGCCUUUACACCAUAGGCAAAGGUCGAAACGGGCAGGCACGGGAGCAAUCCUGGUGGCGAGUGGCGAACGGGUGAGUAAUACAUCGGAACGUGCCAAUCUGGGGGAUAACGCAGCGAAAGCUGUGCUAAUACGCAUACGAUCUACGGAUGAAAGCAGGGGACCGCAAGGCCUUGCGCGAAUGGAGCGGCCGAUGGCAGAUUAGGUAGUUGGUGAGGUAAAGGCUCACCAAGCCUUCGAUCUGUAGCUGGUCUGAGAGGACGACCAGCCACACUGGGACUGAGACACGGCCCAGACUCCUACGGGAGGCAGCAGUGGGGAAUUUUGGACAAUGGGCGAAAGCCUGAUCCAGCAAUGCCGCGUGCAGGAUGAAGGCCUUCGGGUUGUAAACUGCUUUUGUACGGAACGAAACGGUUCUUUCUAAUAAGGAGAGCUAAUGACGGUACCGUAAGAAUAAGCACCGGCUAACUACGUG